GAUGAACGCUAGCUACAGGCUUAACACAUGCAAGUCGAGGGGAAACGACAUCGAAAGCUUGCUUUUGAUGGGCGUCGACCGGCGCACGGGUGAGUAACGCGUAUCCAACCUGCCCACCACUUGGGGAUAACCUUGCGAAAGUAAGACUAAUACCCAAUGAUAUCCCACGAAGACAUCUGAAUGGGAUUAAAGAUUUAUCGGUGAUGGAUGGGGAUGCGUCUGAUUAGCUUGUUGGCGGGGUAACGGCCCACCAAGGCAACGAUCAGUAGGGGUUCUGAGAGGAAGGUCCCCCAAAUUGGAACCGAGACACAGGCCAAACUCCUGCGGGAGGCAGCAGUGAGGAAUAUUGGUCAAUGGGCGGGAGCCUGAACCAGCCAAGUAGCGUGCAGGAAGACGGGCCUAUGGGUUGUAAACUGCUUUUAUAAGGGAAUAAGGUGGGUAACGUGUGACUUUUUGCAUGUACCUUAUGAAUAAGGACCGGCUAAUUCCGUG
rnacentral:rRNA from 1 species